rnacentral:rRNA from 1 species
CACGUAGGGGGCAAGCGUUGUCCGGAUUUAUUGGGCGUAAAGAGCUCGUAGGCGGCUCGGUAAGUCGGAUGUGAAACCUCCAGGCUCAACCUGGAGACGCCAUCUGAUACUGCCGUGGCUUGAGUCCGGUAGAGGAGCAGGGAAUUCCUGGUGUAGCGGUGAAAUGCGCAGAUAUCAGGAGGAACACCAAUGGCGAAGGCAGCUCGCUGGGACGGUACUGACGCUGAGGCGCGAAAGCGUGGGGAGCAAACAGG